GACGAACGCUGGCGGCGUGCUUAACACAUGCAAGUCGAACGGAAAGGCCCUGCUUUUGUGGGGUUCUCGAUUGGCGAACGGGUGUGUAACACGUGAGUAACCUGCCCUUGUCUUUGUGAUAUCUUCUGGAAACUCGGGCUAUUACCCGAUAUGAUCUCUUGCUGCAUGUUGGUGGUUGGUAAGUUUCGGCUGUUGGGGAUCGACUCGCUGCUUAUCAGCUUGUUUGUGUGGUAGUGGCUUACCAAGGCUUUGACGGGUAGCCGGCCUGAGAGGGUGACCGGGCACAAGGGGACUGAGAGAGGGCGCAGACGGCAACGGGAGGCAGGAGGGGGGAAUAUUGCAGAAUGGGGGGAAGCGAGAGGCAGAAACGCCGCGAGCGGGAAGACGGCCUACGGGUUGUAAACCGAUGUGGAAUGUGAAGAAGAGAGAGUGACGGUAAUGGGUAAAGAAGCACCGGCUAACUACGUG
rnacentral:rRNA from 1 species